rnacentral:rRNA from 1 species
GACGAACGCUGGCGGCGUGCUUAACACAUGCAAGUCGAACGGUGAUGCACCAGCUUGCUGGAGUGGAUCAGUGGCGAACGGGUGCGUAACACGUGAGCAACCUGCCCCAGACUCUGGAAUAAGCGCUGGAAACGGCGUCUAAUACUGGAUACGAAACUGGCCCGCAUGGGCAUGGUUUGGAAAGUUUUUCGGUUUGGGAUGGGCUCGCGGCCUAUCAGCUUGUUGGUGAGGUAAUGGCUAACCAAGGCGACGACGGGUAGCCGGCCUGAGAGGGCGACCGGCCACACUGGGACUGAGACACGGCCCAGACUCCUACGGGAGGCAGCAGUGGGGAAUAUUGCACAAUGGGCGAAAGCCUGAUGCAGCGACGCCGCGUGAGGGAUGACGGCCUUCGGGUUGUAAACCUCUUUCAGCAGGGAAGAAGCGAAAGUGACGGUACCUGCAGAAGAAGCACCGGCUAACUACGUG